rnacentral:tRNA from 1 species
GGGUCGGUAGCUCAGUUGGUUAGAGCGUCUGCCUUUUAAGCAGAAUGUCGUGGGUUCGAGCCCCACCCGACUCA